UACGUAGGGGGCUAGCGUUGUCCGGAAUCAUUGGGCGUAAAGCGCGCGUAGGCGGCCAGAUAAGUCCGGUGUGAAAGCCACAGGCUCAACCUGUGAAUGCCGCUGGAAACUGUCUGGCUAGAGUCCGGGAGGGGCGAGUGGAAUUCAUGGUGUAGCAGUGAAAUGCGUAGAUAUCAUGAGGAAUACCAGAGGCGAAGGCGGCUACCUGGACAAUUGCUGACGCUCAGGCACGAAAGCGUGGGGAGCAAAAGGG
rnacentral:rRNA from 1 species